rnacentral:misc_RNA from 1 species
AAUUUCUGCUAUAAUAGUUCAGUUUCUGUACUAUAUUG